AUAUGGGGAGGAUAGGGGGGUGGCGAAUGGUAAACAAAAAAAUUCUUACUACAUUGUAUUAUUUAAUUUUUAAUAUUACAUUAUUUUAAUAAAUAAAAAAUGGCAAAAGUCAUAACAAAGAAGACUUCAAAAAGCCAAUUUGCACAGACAACAGCUGGUAAGUUAUUAUAGCAUAACUUUAAUUAACCAUUAAAGAAAUAUAAAUAAAUAUGUAUUUUUUACUUAUUUAUUUAUUACUUGUCGUGUAUGGAUUUCCCAUUUGCUGCAAUAUUAAUUUUUUAAUUUUAGUAUCUACCUCAUGUACUACACCUGGUAAGUUACAUAACUCUUAAUUUUUAAUUUGCAAACUUUACAAUAUGUUUAACUUUAGUUCCUUAGUCAGCUGCUGCAACUAGUAAUUUAAAAAAAUAAUAAAUUUAAUAUGUGUAUGCAUUUCUCGUUAUUUGCAAUAUUGAUUUUUUGUUACAACUUUGUAAUUUUAGUAUCUACCUCUUGUGCUACACCAGGUAAGGCUUACCUUCACAUGGUGUCUAUUGUUAAAAAUGAUUUAUUUAGUUGCAUUGGAACUUAAUUUAAAUCAUUUACUAAAAGCCAAGACAUAAAUUAAUUACUAUGUUUCGAAACAUUUGUUGCUUUUUUGUUUGUUUUUUAUAAGGUUGGUUGGUUAAAUAUAAUCAUUUAAAUGAGAAAAUGUAUACUCGUACAACUGAAUACAUGUAAACUCGAGAAAAUGAAUACUCGUGCAAUCUGGUAAAACAAUUCUGUAUUGUGCUUUCUCUUUUUAAUAAUUGCAUGCGAAAAUGUUGAAAAUAUCA